rnacentral:rRNA from 1 species
UACGUAGGGUGCGAGCGUUUGUCCGGAAUUAUUGGGCGUAAAGAGCUCGUAGGCGGUUUGUCGCGUCUGCUGUGAAAUCCCGAGGCUCAACCUCGGGCCUGCAGUGGGUACGGGCAGACUGGAGUGCGGUAGGGGGAGAAUGGAAUUCCUGGUGUAGCGGUGGAAUGCGCAGAUAUCUGGAGGAACACCGGUGGCGAAGGCGGCAUCCUGGACCGGCAUUGACGCUGAGGCGCGAAAGCUAGGGGAGCGAACGGGG